UACAGAGGUCCCAAGCGUUGUUCGGAUUCACUGGGCGUAAAGGGUGCGUAGGCGGUCGGGUAAGUCUGACGUGAAAUCUUCAAGCUCAACUUGGAAACUGCGUCCGAUACUAUUCGGCUAGAGGAAUGGAGGGGAGACUGGAAUACUUGGUGUAGCAGUGAAAUGCGUAGAUAUCGGAAGGAACAUCAGUGGCGAAAAGCGACUUCCUGGACCAAUACUGACGCUCAUGUGCGAAAGCGUGGGGAGCAAACAGG
rnacentral:rRNA from 1 species